ensembl:lncRNA
UUCAUAUUGAUUAGUCUCUUCCUUAAGUAUAGUGGACCCACCACAGGGAUGAAUGUCAUCUUUACAGAGGAAGAAAAAUAACAGGAAGAAUUACAUCGUGCGGCAGUUUUUCAUUGCGGUGAAUUUAAGGUGGCUGUCAGGCAGACACCGAGCCAAGCUGAUGGCUUUCUGCUUGCAGAGGGAACAGCUCACAGGUAGCCUUACAGAUUCAGCAGGACAUAGUGCUGGAGACUGUGGGUCCAGCCUCAGCUCAGGGAAAGAUGUUUCCUAUAUCCCAUCUGACUCUGCCAAGCAUUUGGUCACUAAAGUGAUCUGUGAGAGCAUCUCCUUUCCUCAUUGCUGGCAAGAGCUUUUGUGUACUGGUUCCUGCUACUUCUGGAAGCAAGGUUACCCAGUAAAGCUGAUACCGUUCUGCCAGUUCUCUCAUAGCUGCAAGAUUGUCUACCAUGCUUUGAACUCAGGAAAUCUUGUUUUUGAAACAUGCAACUCAGCAGUCAUGGAAGAGAGAAAGCUGUGGAAGAGGAAUAGAGGAGGGCUGCCCACCUCCUCCUUCAGAUGGGAAAGUCCUCACAGUUGUUUUCCCGCCAACCACGUCUGAACAUUGGAAUCUGCCCCAAGUUUCUGCGUGAGUUGCUAUUUUAUGUACUGGGAGUCGUCAUCCCGGGAGGCAUGAACAAGAAUCUGGUGACAGGAGCAUCAUGAAGUUCAAGACUUCAAAUGUGAAGUCCUGCACCCUGUAAAUAGUGACACCAUGCAACAGUACAAACUGGGGACAGGCUGACUAGAAACUAGCUUUACAUAAGAGGACCUAGAGGUCCUGAUGGACAUCGAGCUGAAUGUGAGUCAAGAAUGUGCCACUGCGUGAAUGAGAGCCAAGCACAAAAGACACUGGGCUGCAUUAGUAACAGCAGAGGCAGUGGGUUGAGAUAGCCAGCAGAGGUGAAUAUUGCACCCCUCUGAGGAGAAGAAAAUCCCCCAGGCAAGCAGAGAGCAAGAUUGACAUUUCUCAUUAUUUCUGUACUCCAGGUAAUAUAUAUAAACUUUUUUUUUUUUUUUCCCUGGGAGCCCUUCAAACCAAGCAAAUGAAGACAUUUCUUCUGUACAGUCAACGACACUCCAAAAGGUCUGAUCUGCUCUCUGAAAUUUCCCCUGAUUUUGCUGUGGCCCUCAGGCUGUAACUCAGUGAUCUCAGGCACACAACGUGGCUAUCCCAAAAUCUCAAGUUUUGCUUUGACCAAGUAUUUACCAUAACGAAUAGAAACUAUUCCUUGAACAACAACGUCUUUUACCACUUGCAAAUCUCCAUCUAAUCUGACUGUCCUUAUCUAUAAGCGGAGAGAAUGAAAAGCAGGGAUAUAAAACCCAAAGGUUAAGUACAUAUUUUUUGCAACUGUUUAAUGUUCAGCAUUCUCAUGUUGUGAAGAACAUGCAAAGUUUCUGCAUUCUUUCUAUUGGGUGCAUUCGUUACCAAAGCAGACUUGCUAUCGGUUUGGGAUGUAAACUGACCUGGUGUCACUGCAAUUUGCCUGUUUUCAUGUGUGUGUUUGGUUUGCUUUUGGCAUACAGGCACUUACGACUGAUCCAAAGUCAUUCAAAAGCUCAGCAGAUGCUUCUGUGAAUCUCUUCUAUGUUUAGAAAUGGAAAUGAAGCACGAAACCAGGUGCUUUCUGUGCUGUCCUGAAUUAUGGAUUUUAUCCUUCAUGUUAUAACACAGUUUACUUGUCUUCUGGUUUAUCAUUUUUGAAGAAGGUAUGAGGUAAAAUACCAAGAUCUCCCUGACAGAGUCUUGUAGGACUCCAGGAACUGCUGUCUUCUGUACGGGUCCUCUCCAAUUCAACAGCACCCUUUCAGCUGACAUCAAAAGGGGUGAGUGAGGGCUGUGUGGAGUACAAGGAGCCAACACUGCUAAUAAGACAGAAAUUUGCCACUGAUUUUGUGAAAUUCUCUGUACUGGAUUAUACAGGAGAUCAGAAAAGAAGAUUUUCAGAGUCUCUUCCUCUAACUCUUGCAACUUACUCUUGGGAACUGGUAUUAUCAGGCAAGUAUGGACUGGAUGAUCUCCAGAGGUCCCUUCCAACCACUGCGAUUCUGUGAUUCUGAUUCUAAUCUCACAAAGAACAUGGGACUAAUAUUUCUAAGUUUAAGAAUCAGAGGGUUUUUUCAAACCAUUUUAGGAGGAGGCAAGAAACACUUUGGUUUAGCUUUCUGGUCUGAAAAUAUCAAUAGUUUGUUGCAUUUUUGAAAAGAGCCACAGGAAUCAUAGAUCAAAGAACCAUAGAACGGCUUGAGUUGGAAGAGACCACAAAGCCCAUGCAGCCCCAACCCUCUGCCAUGGGCAGGGCUGCUCCCCAGCAGCUCAGGCUGCCCAGGACCCCAUCCAACCUGGCCCUGAGUGCCUCCAGGGAUGGGGCACCCACAGCUUCUCUGGGCAGCUGUGCCAGGGCCUCACCUCUCUCUGAGUAAAAAUUUUCUGCCUAACAUCUAACCCAAAUCUCCCCACUUUUAGUUUAAAGCCAUUUUCCCUUGUCCUAUCACUAUUAGACUGUGUGAAAUGUUGGUUCUCCUCCUGUUUAUAAACUCCUCUCAAGUACUGGAAGGCCACAGAGAGGUGUCCCCGGAGCCUUCUCUUCUCCAGGCUGAACAAGCCCAGCUCCCUCAGCCUUUCUUCACAGGAGAGGUGCUCCAGCCCUCUGAGCAUCUUCGUGGCCCUCAUCUGGACAUCCUCCAACAGCUCCACAUCUUUCUUGUGCUGGAGGCCCCAGGUCUGAAUGCAGUACUGGGCCUCAUGAAGGCAGAGCAGAGGGGAAUAAUCACCUUCCUCUCCCUGCUGGCCACCCCUCUGUUGAUGCUGACCAGGAUACUGUUGGCCUUCUGGGUUGCAAGAGCACACUGAUGGCUCAUGUCAAGCCUUUUAUCUAUCAGAGACCGCAGGUCCUCCUCCGCGGGGCUGCCCUCAAUGAGUUCUUCUCCCAGACUGUACACGUAUCAGGAAUUACCCUGACCUGAGUGCAACACCUUGGUCAAGCCAUUGCUCUCAUGGCUACAGGUCUGUUGUUUGGACACAAUAAUGUACAGAUGGGCUUUGCAUUUAUCAAGAAUAAUCACCAGCUGAGAUGCUGAGUGGAGGAAAACUAUUAUCGUCGUGACUGAACAGAGUCUGGCAGCAUUCUUUGUUGUUUGUGGCUUAUUCUUGAAAUUAGAUUUCAGAGACUAAACUGACCUCUCUGUAAGCUGAGCUCAGAAGAUGAAGGCCAAUAAUGGGAGAAGGAGCACAUCUCAAGGCAAAAGGUUUAACCGUCUGCCUCUUGGUAACCUGCAGGAAAUCCACCAACCAUCAUUUCAUUUGCAGCGAUUAAAGCCUGGAUGUUGGCAGAUGUGCACACACAUUCUUGCCCCACAGACCAAACAGAGCAACUUCAGAAGUGCAGCAGGAGUUCCUUUAAAACAGACUGGGAAGGAAAGGUGGGAAUGAACGAAACCUCUACCCCGUGCCUUAACACUUUUGAGUACGAUGUUGGUUUGCAAUGCUUACGUAUCACUUUGGACAUUACACAUUGGCACUGAGUACCUAAAACAAGAGACUUGAGCUUUCCAUUUGCUUUGCACAUCUGUUUUGUCGGGUCCUGUGCUCGUAGCAUUUUUUCCCAGCUGCAGUAUCACAACUGGACACUAGAGAGCUCCUUUUACCAAAGACAUCUCUCCAACGUGAGGGCAGAGCCCUGUGAGAUAUUUGCUUGAGGGAAGAAAGUGAAUAUUGGUAGGAUCUUUUCAUGCAGCGUGGAGAAAUGGUAGCAGCAGCGUCACCUCCUCACAAAGGAAGCCCAACAAAUCCAUGUUAACCU